GAUCCGCGGGAUGGAGCUCCGAAUCAUCACAAUAGCUAAGGAGUUAGCUUAUCUAUCUACUAUACUAAAAUAAUUCAUCUUUGCUACAUGUCCUACUUUUUGGCCAAUCAAUUGGGUGAUGUGGACACCCUCUUAGGCCAGAGAAUUCACCUCUGGGCGCCAAACUCUUUCUCUAUUCUCCUUUAUCACAUUAGUUCCUUCUCUCACACGCUGUUUCCCUAAUUUAUGUGCUGAUGUAUCGUCAUGUCUCAUGCUUCUCAUCUUCUUCAAUUGCUUUUCUAUUCAUGUUUCCUAAUCCCUAAAGGCUGGAAACAAACCCUAGAACUCUUCCCGUCACCCAGCUUAUCAAUCUAUGCCCCUCUUCUCUUCAAUCUAAAUCCUAUUUCAUAAAUAUCCAGACCUUUCCUUUCACACUUUUUUUUUUCAAAUCAUAAACCCUAGGUCUUACUCAUCUGCGACUUUCCAGUUGGGUUUUAGACGAUCGACGAUUGUUCCAGGUGAUGGCUAGAGCUAUAGCCACUAUUCCGGUCAGUUAAGGUUUAUAGCCACGAUUCUGGUCAGCUAGGGUUUCCUCCACAAUUGUCGGUGGUGGUUGAUGAUAACAGAGAUUACGAUGGUGGUGGUUCUUGCUAUGAUUACUGUAACCGGCGGUGCAAUGUUACGGUAACCCACGCGUUUUACCCAAUUGCAUCUUAUUUCCCCUUUCCUUUUUCUGGUGACACGUCUUUCUUUGAUUCUUUUCAAAUCAUCAUCGUCACCUACAUUCUCUCCGGUUCUUUUCAUUUUUUAGUAAUUUCAUAUUCACAUAAACCUGCAAUUGCUAUAGCUAGAGCAGGUGGUUGGUUUUUUAAAUCUGAGAAUUUAGCAUAUUAUCCAAUUCUUAUCGGACGGAACCUGCUAUAUGCUUUGAUUAACGGUUUAUUUUAUUUAGUUUAGUAAUAAUUGUUGGGUUUUUGAGUUCAUAUUAUUAUCAUUGUUGGUUGGAUUUAUGUUUCUCGAGUUGUGGCUAUUUGUUUGUCACUGAAUUGAGAGUUAUGUAAAGUCAUUGAAUUGUGUUUUUUGUUAAAAACCUGAGACCAUGGUUGCCACAGUCGGAAUAGGUGUUGGUCAUGGUGAUUUUGUGUUGUCAGGAGGGUGGUCGUCACUGGACAGUCGUUGAUAGUUAGGUAUCAACGUUAACGCUGGUUUAGAAUACCUAGCCACCGCCUCCGGGCAUGGAGGCUAGGGUUUUGUUGGACUUAUGGCGAUCCCGGUUCAUUGGUAUCUUCAUUUAUGCACUAUAAAAUGAUACAACAUCAACCGGUAACAUUUUAUAGUUGUUUGGUGUUGUACCGUGUGGUGAAAUGGUUGUAUGGUGGUUAGGAAUAGUAAUUUAACGACCGUUAAAUAGGAAUUGUAGCUGUGUUUGUUUAAAUGGAUCGUUGUUACCCAGAGGCUGUGAUGAGUUAUAAAAAAUAAAGGCAAUAAGUCGCCAUGGUGUGGCAGCUAUGGAGGAUGGCAGUUUAGUACCUGCAACCCCUAUUGCAGCCAUGGUGGCUUGGUCCUUUUGCAUUCUCUGAGCCUCAUGAAUCUGUUAAUUGCUGCCUAUUUGUUUAGAAGAUCAUAUACACUAUAAUGCAGGCCUGGCCCAAGGGUGAGCCAAAUGAGGCAAAAGCUUUGGGCCACCACUUUUCAAGGGCCUCACUUCCUAGGUGGUACAAGUAAAACUAGGUCUGGUAAGUUGUGAAGGAGUGAUGAAUGUAUGGAAAAUCCAACCAUUUGAAGCUCAUCGAUUAGGCAACUGAGAGUGCUUGCGGAGCAUCGUUGGACUGAAGGUAAGUCUUGCUUAUCCCAGAUCUUUUCGCAAACUAAAGAUAUUCACAUGUGGUUUUGUUUGUUUUUAAUUUUCUGAUAAUGAUGUUUGAUUCAGGCGUGAAUGGUUGAAUUACGUUGAAGUUUUAAAAUUAGGGCCUGAUUUGAACCACUGUUGAUAUGAUUUUAUUUGUUUAAGUUUGCUGCAAGCUUUGUAGUCAUCAUGUUAUUACUGAUGAUGUUUAGCUCUUGACCAGUUGACCGACACAUAGAACUAUAUGUUUGUGAUUACUCUUCUUUAAAUCAUUAUAAUAUAUUUUGUUUAAGUCUGCUUUAAGUUUUGUAAUCUAAAGUUUAGCAUUUUAGUGUUAACAGCAGUUACUCUUUCUCUAAUUGUGAAUCUUCUUUCAUUGGUAUACAUUAAUUGUUCUUAAAAUCAUUAUAAUAUAUUUCAGCGAAUCCAAGGCCGGGUAAAGGAGGGUUUUUCUCAAAUAGUGUUUUUUUUUUUUUGAAAAAGGCCUCAAGUUUUUAAAUCGGUUUAGGCCACCAAAAUAAUUGAGCCGGCCCUGUGUUACUGUUAGGGUCAAGAAAACUUGGGAUGGCAUGUUUUCAUGUUGUUUUUGAAGUUGAUCUUUUUUAUGCUAUAUAAUUCUAGGUCAAUGUUUGGUCUAAUUGAGUAAUUUCUGGUAAAAUAUCUGGGUAUAAGUUUUUGUGUUUUGAGUUUUAUUUUGCCAUCUAUCUCUCUUCAUAUAUACAGGUGAAAUCUUUGUUUGUUUUACCAUUCAUGUAUCUCUUAUGGAUUUCAUAAACAACAUACCACUGUUUCUGCAUUCGUAUUAUACACAAGUCUCUGCUUUUUGACAACUUAACUUCACUUUGGCUUGAGGUUAAAAGCUUAGUUUUGAGUGAUGGAGCUCGGGCUUUGGCUAAGCAUGUCAACAGAAGCAAAGGAAAAUUUUGGAUUCAAAAGGCCUUAACUUUUCGUGGAAGACGAAGACAACAAGAUUAUAACUUCCCUUGCACAUGACACGCUUUGGGAACUUGGUUUAGUAAUCAGGGAGGGAUCCAACUGAUAGGUGGUCAAAAGAAAGAAUACAGUUACACAACGAACAUAACAGAAAACAGUGAUGUCUACAGUGACGGAGUGGUGUUACUAGAGAUCUUAAGUAGACGUAGUGCGGUCGAGAAUCGGGUCAGGGAGGGUUCACAUAUAGUCGAGUGGGUCAAAAGGAAGUGGUUGCAUUGUUGAAGACACUGAGGUUAUUGCUUCAUCGAGUACAACACUCCUCAGGAAGCUGAGCUUGCCAAUGAGAAGGUACAAGCUAGACAGAGCACACAAUUUUGAUGUCAACAUGUUUGAUGAAAUCGACAGAUUCAUGAAAGUCCCAGACGAGUGGGGUCCACCUUAUACACCAGGGCUAGCUGAAGGAAUUGCCGGAAUUCAACACAGCCCCUUCUACGUGCAUCGCGCUUUGCUAGACCUUAUAAAGCUGAGAUAACUGUUAAGUUGUUGCAAAGUAAUCGGAAUUCGGAUUGGGAAACGAGGUACAAGAUCGCGGUUGGAUCCGCACAAGGGCUCGCUUAUAUUCAUCAAGAUUGUGUGCCUGCAAUUCUUCAAAGAGAUGUUAAGUGCAAUAAUAUUCUUCUCGACUGCAAAUAUGAGGCUUAUUUGGUUGAUUUCGGGCUCGCGAAACUAAUGAAUUCUGCCAAUUAUUAGCAUGCCAUGUCACGGGUCACUGGAUCAUAUGGAUACGUCGCUCCAGGAAAGUUUUUUUUGUUGUUAUCGUUGAAUCACGAGCUA